AAAGCGCACGCAGGCGGUCUGUUAAGUCAGAUGUGAAAUCCCCGGGCUUAACCUGGGAACUGCAUUUGAAACUGGCAGGCUUGAGUCUUGUAGAGGGGGGUAGAAUUCCAGGUGUAGCGGUGAAAUGCGUAGAGAUCUGGAGGAAUACCGGUGGCGAAGGCGGCCCCCUGGACAAAGACUGACGCUCAGGUGCGAAAGCGUGGGGAGCAAACAGGAUUAGAUACCCGUGU
rnacentral:rRNA from 1 species